rnacentral:rRNA from 1 species
UGCAAGUCGAGGGGUAUUUAUCUUCGGAUAGAGAGACCGGCGCACGGGUGCGUAACGCGUAUGCAAUCUACCUUUUACAGAGGGAUAGCCCAGAGAAAUUUGGAUUAAUACCUCAUAGUAUAUAGACCCGGCAUCAAGAUUAUAUUAAAGUCACAACGGUAAAAGAUGAGCAUGCGUCCCAUUAGCUAGUUGGUAAGGUAACGGCUUACCAAGGCUACGAUGGGUAGGGGUCCUGAGAGGGAGAUCCCCCACACUGGUACUGAGACACGGACCAGACUCCUACGGGAGGCAGCAGUGAGGAAUAUUGGACAAUGGGCGCAAGCCUGAUCCAGCCAUGCCGCGUGCAGGAUGACGGUCCUAUGGAUUGUAAACUGCUUUUAUACGAGAAGAAACACUGCUACGUGUAGCAGCUUGACGGUAUCGUAAGAAUAAGGAUCGGCUAACUCCGUGCCAGCAGCCGCGGUAAUACGGAGGAUCCAAGCGUUAUCCGGAAUCAUUGGGUUUAAAGGGUCCGUAGGCGGUUUAAUAAGUCAGUGGUGAAAGCCCAUCGCUCAACGGUGGAACGGCCAUUGAUACUGUUAGACUUGAAUUAUUAGGAAGUAACUAGAAUAUGUAGUGUAGCGGUGAAAUGCUUAGAGAUUACAUGGAAUACCAAUUGCGAAGGCAGGUUACUACUAAUUGAUUGACGCUGAUGGACGAAAGCGUGGGUAGCGAACAGGAUUAGAUACCCUGGUAGUCCACGCCGUAAACGAUGGAUACUAGCUGUUGGAAGCAAUUUCAGUGGCUAAGCGAAAGUGAUAAGUAUCCCACCUGGGGAGUACGUUCGCAAGAAUGAAACUCAAAGGAAUUGACGGGGGCCCGCACAAGCGGUGGAGCAUGUGGUUUAAUUCGAUGAUACGCGAGGAACCUUACCAAGGCUUAAAUGUAGAUUGACCGGUUUGGAAACAGAUCUUUCGCAAGACA